rnacentral:rRNA from 1 species
GACGACGGGUAGCCGGCCUGAGAGGGUGACCGGCCACACUGGGACUGAGAUACGGCCCAGACUCCUACGGGAGGCAGCAGUGGGGAAUAUUGCACAAUGGGCGCAAGCCUGAUGCAGCGACGCCGCGUGAGGGAUGACGGCCUUCGGGUUGUAAACCUCUUUCGCCAGGGACGAAGCGCAAGUGACGGUACCUGGAGAAGAAGGACCGGCCAACUACGUGCCAGCAGCCGCGGUAAUACGUAGGGUCCGAGCGUU